AACGAACGCUGGCGGCAUGCCUAACACAUGCAAGUCGAACGAGACCUUCGGGUCUAGUGGCGCGCGGGUGCGUAACGCGUGGGAACCUGCCCUUAGGUUCGGAAUAACUCAGAGAAAUUUGAGCUAAUACCGGAUGAUGUCUUCGGACCAAAGAUUUAUCGCCUUUAGAUGGGCCCGCGUUGGAUUAGCUAGUUGGUGGGGUAAAGGCCUACCAAGGCGACGAUCCAUAGCUGGUCUGAGAGGAUGAUCAGCCACACUGGGACUGAGACACGGCCCAGACUCCUACGGGAGGCAGCAGUGGGGAAUAUUGGACAAUGGGCGAAAGCCUGAUCCAGCAAUGCCGCGUGAGUGAUGAAGGCCUUAGGGUUGUAAAGCUCUUUUACCCGAGAUGAUAAUGACAGUAUCGGGAGAAUAAGCUCCGGCUAACUCCGUG
rnacentral:rRNA from 1 species